rnacentral:rRNA from 1 species
UACAGAGGUCCCAAGCGUUGUUCGGAUUCACUGGGCGUAAAGGGUGCGUAGGUGGCUUGGCAAGUUUGACGUGAAAUCUCCGGGCUUAACCCGGAAAAUGCGUUGAAUACUGUUUGAGCUGGAGGUUUGGAGGGGGGACUGGAAUUCUUGGUGUAGCAGUGAAAUGCGUAGAUAUCAAGAGGAACACCAGUGGCGAAGGCGAGUCCCUGGACAACACCUGACACUGAGGCACGAAAGUGUGGGGAGCAAACAGG